UUGAUAUUGAGGCGGAAAUGUUCCUUUUUUUCCCGUACAAAAAAAAGAAAAGAAAAGAAAAAGGCUACAUCACAAUGUAAAGCUGUCCCCAUGCUCUUCUGCUGCGAACCUCACCUUUAUUACAUGUGACGUGUAUGUGGCAGUGCAGGCAGUGUGUUGCAAAGGAGAGUUGUAG